UGGUUCAGGAUCAGUGAACAUGGAGCCACUAAAGUGUCUGUCGGGAAAGUUUACAGCUUCAAUGCUACUGAGGGAGGAGAGUAUUACUGUGUGGCUACAAAUGAUCUGGGAAAUCAUAAAUCAUCAAUGAGGUUUCUUAGGAUUAAAGGUUCUGGACUUGGUGUUUACACUAAAAUAAAGAUCCUGGGAUCAGUAAUGCUCUAUGGCUCAAUCAUCAUCUUUCAGUGCUGGUUUAGAUUCUCCAAGAGAGACAAAA